ACAGCACCACGUGCUUCAGCUUUCUGCAUUCAUCUGUACAGAAGCAACAGUUUAUUGUUACUUUAUCAAAAAUUCAUAAGGUAUCCACCAUGUUCCUUUCGCUACUGUAAUUUGUGGUACUAUACUUUCUCAUAUGACCUGUCACGGAGAACAUGUUUGAUGUUACAAAGCAUCUUAUUAACGAGCAGAGACUUCUCCGUGUAAGGAAACUCAGUGACUGCUGCUCCUCGGAUGUUUGCAGUGUGUAUGUGUGAUACCUGAAGAUAUUUUCCUCCAAAAACAUUAUGGAAUUUACAGCUAAUAUAGACUGAACAAAGGCAGAAAGGUGUGCUGGGAAACCUGUUUGAUGCCCUCGUUAUGGUGCAAUACCAUUUGGUGCCGCUAUUGGCACAGAAAUUACACACUGCAAUUUGAAGAAACUGCCAUCAAGAGAUUUUGUGGGCAAUCCUUCACAUUAUGACAUUUCCUGCUGAUAAUUGUUUACACAACUGCAGGUGUGAAGGCUCAUUACUCGUCACAUUUGGUCCCAGGCAUUUCAACAAAACUACUUGAAGAUGGGAAUUUCCUGCAGCAUAACAAGCCAACUGAUACCUAAAGACACUCGAGAAAGUGAUACUUGAGUUAGGAUUUUGAUGAAUAUUCUGAUGACAUGGUAUUUACAAGACAAAUUCCUCAAUGAAUGCAUGUAAAUGCAGAAGAGAAAGACAGAACAAACACACACUAUUAAA